rnacentral:rRNA from 1 species
GACAGAGGAUGCAAGCGUUAUCCGGAAUGAUUGGGCGUAAAGCGUCUGUAGGUGGCUUUUUAAGUCUGCCGUCAAAUCCCAGGGCUUAACCCUGGACAGGCGGUGGAAACUACCAAGCUGGAGUACGGUAGGGGCAGGGGGAAUUUCCGGUGGAGCGGUGAAAUGCGUAGAUAUCGAGAGGAACACCUGCGGCGAAGGCGGGUAGCUGGGCCGACACUGACGCUGAGGCGCGAAAGCCAGGGGAGCGAACGGG